rnacentral:piRNA from 1 species
UAUGGACCUGUUUGAGGCCUUCGUUGGAA